rnacentral:rRNA from 1 species
UACGAGGGGGGCAAGCGUUGUUCGGAAUUAUUGGGCGUAAAGCGCGUGUAGGCGGUCCGGUAAGUCCGCUGUGAAAGUCGGGGGCUCAACCCUCGGAUGCCGGUGGAUACUGUCGGGCUUGAGUACGGAAGAGGCGAGUGGAAUUCCUGGUGUAGCGGUGAAAUGCGCAGAUAUCAGGAGGAACACCAAUUGCGAAGGCAGCUCGCUGGGACGUUACUGACGCUGAGACGCGAAAGCGUGGGGAGCAAACAGG